GUCCCGCUUUGCGUUGUGCCAGCCACCACUGCCGGUUGCCUCCAGCUCGAGGCGGGGAGAUAGACUAACCCUCCCCUCGCCCCGUUGAGUGCUUGCCAGCGCCCGGUCGCCCGCGUGGGCCAGCGCCCCGACCGGCCCACCUCGCCCGACCUGCCUCCUCUCCAGCCGGCCUGUGUGGCCCAAGGUGAGCCAACACACGGCCCCUCUAUUGUGCGCCCUAGGCAAUGUUUUUCUAUGUUGCGCUCGCCCAGAUUCAGGCUCGUCUAGUAUUUUUUUUCGUCGUCCGAUUUUUUCCAUUAACGACGAAUUUCAGAAAAACACAUAUUUUUCAAACGUCCGUAGUUUUUAAACCGUGUGUCAGGUCGCGACAAUUCAUAUAUGUAGAACAUGUAUAAUUUCGCGUAGAUUAAUGUUCUCCCUCUCUUAUGCAUA
rnacentral:lncRNA from 1 species